rnacentral:piRNA from 1 species
UGAUACUGGUGGUGAGGACAAUCUCAGA